rnacentral:rRNA from 1 species
UGGCGGCGUGCUUAACACAUGCAAGUCGAACGCGAAAGGGACUUCGGUCCUGAGUAAAGUGGCGCACGGGUGAGUAACGCGUAGAUAACCUGUCUUCAUGUCUGGAAUAAUACGCCGAAAGGGGUACUAAUACCGGAUAUUCUUGCUUUUCAUAAGUUAUGCAAGCAAAGGUGGCCUCUGCAUAUGCUACUGCAUGAAGAGGGGUCUGCGUACCAUUAGCUAGUAGGUGGGGUAAUGGCCUACCUAGGCGACGAUGGUUAGCGGGUCUGAGAGGAUGAUCCGCCACACUGGCACUGGAACACGGGCCAGACUCCUACGGGAGGCAGCAGUGAGGAAUAUUGCGCAAUGGGGGAAACCCUGACGCAGCGACGCCGCGUGAGUGAGGAAGGCCUUCGGGUCGUAAAGCUCUGUCAAGAGGAAAGAAGUGUACAAUGGCUAAUACCUGUUGUAUUUGACGGUACCUCUAAAGGAAGCACCGGCUAACUCCGUGCCAGCCGCGGC